rnacentral:misc_RNA from 1 species
UUAAUUAUUCACCCUCAGAUAAAAUCCAGGAGGUUUUGAAAGGCCACUGGCGGGCACUAGCCAAGGACCAGCCCCGCCAGAGCAACUUGGUUUUUUGAUUCAAGAGUUGGAGAUCGGGCCUAGAAGACCCUUACUCGGUAAUGAUCCUUCCGCAGGUUCACCUACGGAAA